CCUACGGGAGGCAGCAGUGAGGAAUAUUGGUCAAUGGUCGGGAGACUGAACCAGCCAAGCCGCGUGAGGGAUGAAGGUACAGAGUAUCGUAAACCUCUUUUGUCAGGGAACAAAGGCGGGGACGUGUCCCCGGAUGAGUGUACCUGAAGAACAAGCAUCGGCUAACUCCGUGCCAGCAGCCGCGGUAAUACGGAGGAUGCGAGCGUUUUCCGGAUUUGUUGGGGUUAAAGGGUGCGCAGGCGGUCUGUUACGUCAGCGGUCAAAGCCCGGGGCUCAACCCGGGGACGGCCUUUGAAACUGGCAGUCUAGAGUAGGGGAGAGGUAUGCGGAAUGCGCGGUGUAGCGGUGAAAUGCAUAGAUAGCGCGCAGAACACCGAUUGCGAAGGCAGCAUGCCGGCUCCACACUGACGCUGAGGCACGAAAGCGUGGGUAUCGAACAGGAUUAGAUACCCGAGUAGUC
rnacentral:rRNA from 1 species